UUUGUCUGCUAGGGGAGCUGUAAAGCUGAGAGAAAUCGAUGAUUGAAACCCUUUGAACCUGAUCUGGUUUAUGCCAGCGUAGGGAAGCAGGCUGCGUCAUUA
rnacentral:ncRNA from 2 species